GGGUCCAUAGCUCAACGGCAGAGCGCACCGCUCAUAACGGUUUGGUUGUAGGUUCGAAUCCUACUGGACCCACUA
rnacentral:tRNA from 1 species